GAUGAACGCUAGCUACAGGCUUAACACAUGCAAGUCGCGGGGCAGCAUGUCGGUUGCUUGCAACCGAUGAUGGCGACCGGCGCACGGGUGAGUAACGCGUAUCCAACCUGCCCUUCACCACGGAAUAAUCCAGUGAAAAUUGGUCUAAUACCGUAUGAGGUCAUACGAUGGCAUCAGAAUAUGACGAAAGGUUUGGCGGUGAAGGAUGGGGAUGCGUCUGAUUGGCUUGUUGGUGAGGUAACGGCUCACCAAGGCGACGAUCAGUAGGGGUUCUGAGAGGAAGGUCCCCCACAUUGGAACUGAGACACGGUCCAAACUCCUACGGGAGGCAGCAGUGAGGAAUAUUGGUCAAUGGGCGAGAGCCUGAACCAGCCAAGUAGCGUGCAGGGAGACGGCCCUAUGGGUUGUAAACUGCUUUUAUAUGGGGAUAAAGUGAGCUACGUGUAGUUUAUUGCAGGUACCAUAUGAAUAAGGACCGGCUAAUUCCGAGCCAGCCGCCGCAGUAA
rnacentral:rRNA from 1 species